rnacentral:rRNA from 1 species
AUACGUAGGUGGCAAGCGUUGUCCGGAAUUAUUGGGCGUAAAGCGCAUGUAGGCGGUUUGGUAAGUCGGUCGUGAAAAUGCGGUGCUUAACGACGUAUGGCGAUUGAAACUGCUGAACUUGAGUGCAGGAGAGGAAAGGGGAACUCCCAGUGUAGCGGUGAAAUGCGUAGAUAUUGGGAAGAAUACCGGUGGCGAAGGCGCCUUUCUGGACUGUGUCUGACGCUCAGAUGCGAAAGCCAGGGUAGCGAACGGGAUUAGAUACCCCGGUAGUCCUGGCCGUAAACGAUGGGUACUAGGUGUGGGAGGUAUCGACUCCUUCCGUGCCGGGGUUAACGCAAUAAGUACCCCGCCUGGGGAGUACGGCCGCAAGGCUUAAACUCAAAUGAAUGGACGGGG